AGCAGCCGCGGUAAUUCCAGCUCCAAUAGCGUAUAUUAAAGUUGCUGCAGUUAAAAAGCUCGUAGUUGAAUUUCGGGACCGAUAUAUCGGUCGUGCCUCGGUACGUACUGGUAUUUUCGGUUUCUCCCUUCUGACGAACCUUGAUGUCAUUAAUUUGGUGUCUUGGGAAAUCAGGACUGUUACUUUGAAAAAAUUAGAGUGUUUAAAGCAGGCUCACGCUUGAAUACAUUAGCAUGGAAUAAUGAAAUAGGACGUUUGAUUCUAUUUUGUUGGUUUCUAGGAUCGACGUAAUGAUUAAUAGGGAUAGUUGGGGGCAUUAGUAUUCAAUUGUCAGAGGUGAAAUUCUUGGAUUUAUUGAAGACUAACUACUGCGAAAGCAUUUGCCAAGGAUGUUUUCAUUAAUCAAGAACGAAAGUUAGGGGAUCGAAGACGAUCAGAUACCGUCGUAGU
rnacentral:rRNA from 1 species